UGAGGAAUAUUGCGCAAUGGAGGAAACUCUGACGCAGCAACGCCGCGUGAGUGAAGAAGGCUUUCGGGUUGUAAAGCUCUGUCAGGUGGGAAGAAACCUUUAUAGUUGAAUAGGCUAUAAAACUGACGGUACCACCAGAGGAAGCACCGGCUAACUCCGUGCCAGCAGCCGCGGUAAUACGGAGGGUGCAAGCGUUAUUCGGAAUUACUGGGCGUAAAGCGCGUGUAGGCGGUCCCGCAAGUCUGAUGUGAAAGCCCCGGGCUUAACCCGGGAAGUGCAUUGGAAACUGUGGGACUUGAGUACUGGAGAGGAUGGGGGAAUUCCCGGUGUAGAGGUGAAAUUCGUAGAGAUCGGGAGGAACACCAGCGGCGCAGGCGGCUCACUAGACAGUUUCUGACGCUAAGAUACGAAAGCGUGGGGAGCAAACA
rnacentral:rRNA from 1 species